rnacentral:rRNA from 1 species
CGUCAUAAAAUGAUGGGAGGAAUGGAGCGUCGGACACGUACUGAAGUGUUAUAGCCUCUGGUAGAUGUGAUGAUCGGGAUUGAGGAUUGCAACGAAUACCUUUUAGGCUACCCGUCUGAUCUCUGAUGGUUGCUAUGGUGCCGAAAGCUUGCUUACGGUUAUCAGAGUUUGAUUGUCAAAAGGUUAGAACGGGUUAAAUUCGUUAAGGAUGUUGACGUAAUGGCUUUAAACGACCCGUCUUGAAACACGG